AUACGUAGAUGGCAAGCGUUAUCCGGAAUGACUGGGCGUAAAGGGUGCGUAGGCGGUUGUUUAAGUCAGAUGUGAAAAUCCCGGGCUCAACCUGGGAACUGCAUUUGAAACUGGACGACUUGAGUGCAGGAGAGGAAAGUGGAAUUCCUAGUGUAGCGGUGAAAUGCGUAGAUAUUAGGAGGAACACCAGUGGCGAAGGCGACUUUCUGGACUGUAACUGACGCUGAGGCACGAAAGCGUGGGGAGCGAACAGGAUUAGAUACCCUGGUAGUCCACGCUGUAAACGAUGAAUGCUAGGUGUGGGGUGUCAAAGCUCCGUGCCGCAGUUAACACAAUAAGCAUUCCGCCUGGGGAGUACGGCCGCAAGGUUGA
rnacentral:rRNA from 1 species